rnacentral:rRNA from 1 species
GUGUCAGCCGCCGCGGUAAGACGGAGGAUGCAAGCGUUAUCCGGAAUGAUUGGGCGUAAAGCGUCCGCAGGUGGCAAUUCAAGUCUGCUGUUAAAGCGCAGGGCCUAACUCUGUAAAGGCAGUGGAAACUGAAUCGCUAGCGUGUGGUAGGGGCAGAGGGAAUUCCCAGUGUAGCGGUGAAAUGCGUAGAGAUUGGGAAGAACAUCGGUGGCGAAGGCGCUCUGCUGGACCAUAACUGACACGCACAGGACGAAAGCUAGGGGAGCGAAUGGGAUUAGAUACCCCAGUAGUCCUAGCCGUAAACGAUGGAUACUAGGUGUUGUCUGUAUCGACCCGGACAGUGCCGUAGCUAACGCGUUAAGUAUCCCGCCUGGGGAGUACGCACGCAAGUGUGAAACUCAAAUGAAUUGGCGGGG